GAAGAAUUAGAAAAUGACUCAGAAAGAAACUGGAGGAUAAUUUUAUCUGAGUUUGAAAGAAAAACAACAGGAAAAGCAAGCUGUAAAUCUUGGAAGCUGCCUGCAGAGAUAGAGAAAGUGGAGAAAGUUAUGCCUCUAAGGUGAAGCAGCUUUCCUUGGGAGUGUUCUCCUAGCCAGGUGAUUGACAGGCCCAUCUGGAACAACUCUUAAGAGAGAAGAUAAUAGAAUGUAAUGUUUUAAUCUUUGGAGCAGAUCAGAAUGUCAAGUCUCCACCUAGGGCCAGAGGAGGCCCAAGCAGAAGCUGUUGUGAUGUUUUCCUUUCUAAUAUUACCAGCAAUGGAAAGAUGAAAUUGAGAGGUUCAAAGGUAGAGCUCUGAGAACAGUGGGGCAGAUACACUGCAAUAGAGUGGUCAGUGGAUGAUGGAGACUUGCGAGAAAAGAAAGGAUGCAUUUAAGGAUGAUUCAAAAUCUGAGACCUGGAGGACUUGCUGAUUGGUUGUGAAGGGUUACAGCCGAUAAUAUCUUGCUGGAACAAUUUUUCUGAAUGGCAUUUCAAACUGUUACCAAUGAAUGAUGAUGUUAAAGCAUUAAUAUUUGAUGCAUUUCAAGAUGGCAUGAGGUUCAGGAGGAUAUCUAACCUAUUGACCAUCUGUCAGACUCUCCUCUCUUCUCAUGCUUCCCACACAGAAAGAAAAAUAAAGGGGGAAGCUAAGG